rnacentral:rRNA from 1 species
UACGGAAGGCAGCAGUGGGGAAUAUUGCACAAUGGGCGCAAGCCUGAUGCAGCCAUGCCGCGUGUAUGAAGAAGGCCUUCGGGUUGUAAAGUACUUUCAGCGGGGAGGAAGGCGGUGAAGUUAAUAGCUUCACCGAUUGACGUUACCCGCAGAAGAAGCACCGGCUAACUCCGUGCCAGCAGCCGCGGUAAUACGGAGGGUGCAAGCGUUAAUCGGAAUUACUGGGCGUAAAGCGCACGCAGGCGGUCUGUCAAGUCGGAUGUGAAAUCCCCCGGGCUUAACCUGGGAACUGCAUUCGAAACUGGCAGGCUAGAGUCUUGUAGAGGGGGUAGAAUUCCAGGUGUAGCGGUGAAAUGCGUAGAGAUCUGGAGGAAUACCGGUGGCGAAGGCGGCCCCUGGGCAAAGCUGACGCUCAGGGUGCGAAAGCGUGGGGAGCGAAACAGGGAUUAGGAUACC